rnacentral:rRNA from 1 species
CAGAGGUCCCAAGCGUUGUUCGGAUUCACUGGGCGUAAAGGGUGCGUAGGUGGCCAGGUAAGUUCGGUGUGAAAGCUCGGAGCUUAACUCCGAAAUGGCGUUGAAUACUAUCUGGCUGGAGGGUCGGAGGGGAGACUGGAAUUCUCGGUGUAGCAGUGAAAUGCGUAGAUAUCGAGAGGAACACCAGUGGCGAAGGCGAGUCUCUGGACGACUCCUGACACUGAGGCACGAAAGCCAGGGGAGCAAACAGGAUUAGAUACCCUGGUAGUCCUGGCUGUAAACGGUGCACGUUUGCUGUAAGAGGAAUCGACCCCUUUUGUGGCGAAGCUAACGCGAUAAACGCGCCGCCUGGGGAGUACGGUCGCAAGAUUA